GGCCUGGGCGCCUCUUAGUGGGGCGGGGUCAUCCGAGGAAGGGCGCGGCAUAAGGCGGGGCCUCAAACCAAGACCCGCCUCCUCGCCCUCCGGCUGCCAUCGUGGAGGCCGAGACACUGGUGGCUUGUGCUGACUUGUAUUUGGCUACACUCCUUUCUCGUGCCCUCUUUUUGACCUCUUACUGGCCCCGGGUCUGGGUCCUUCCUUCUCUGCUCCAAUUACCACCUUCUGUCUUACUCUUCUGUUCCCAACAACUCUUUCUUACCCUUCCCCCUCAUUAAUGUGACAUUUGGUGACUGGUGAGGCUAGAAGCCUCUGAAAGACUGGGCCUCCCUCUUUGAAAGCUGUGUGUGGGCAUGAGCCACAAAGGAGCAAAUCACCUGGUUCGAAUGGUUUGCAAGGUAUUUGCAAAAUUAGUCACUGAGUCUUCUGACCCAAGACAGCCUUUCCUGGAGGGUGUUUGAGCACAGUAAGUGAUCUAACUUUGAUCCCUUGUCCUCUUUGCUCUCCAUAUUGUGUGUGCUGGGUUAUGGGGGGAAUUAUACAGGGGUUUCAGAAAGUAGACAGGGAUUCCCAAAACUAAUCGAGGGCUGCAAACAAAAACUAUUAAAAUCUAGGAACAGCACAGAGUCAGUGGCAGGUCCCUAGGGCUCUGGCUCUUUGCCUGGGGCACAGCCUCUGAAGACUGACACCUGUUCCCUCAUCCCGCCAUGCUUGUGGGGAUUGCUUUCCCCCACCUCUGCACCUGUUCUCCUUUACAGAGCCUGAGUCAGAAGAUAUGAUCUCCUCAGGGGGCUGGGCAGCUAAGACCAACAUUCCUUGGGCCUUCGCUCAAUCCCUUAGAAAUAGAAAUGACACCAGUAGCGAGUCUGGGCUGCACAGAAGGUAUUUAUCUUGACCCCAGCAACAUUAUUUAGUCCAGAGAAGAUCUGCAAUCUCUCAGAAAUGAUGUGGUGAACACAGGUCUUUUCCUCUGUAGUUUUGUAGUCGAAUCAAGAUUCCAUCUACCUCUGACUCUAGCAGCAUAUAAAUCAGUCGUUCAAUCUGUCAGCAGAUUUAUGGACUAUCUGGCUAGGCCCCCCGAACAGCAGGCAAAGUGCUAAGGGGGACACGAGAUGAAUGAGACAUGACCUCUGCACUCCAGGAUCCUACCACGGAACAAAUACAUGAAACGAUAACUAAUCCCGGAUGCCGCCUGUUGCCGAUGACUGAUGCAGUCCCACGGGCAACCGAAGUACAGGGAGGAAGACAAAUGACUGUGCAGUAAGAUGGCUGCUCCUCAGGCCCCCUCAGGAACUUGUUAGACAGUUAAGAAAACAUUUGGAGACGUGGGAUAGGAGUUUGUUCCUAGUCCUGGGAACAUGGACUUGUAUGACCCUGCCAGCGAGAUGGAGAAGUUGUCCUUGAGAGAGCUAGACUCAGACAACUGUCUCCUUACAAGUUGUCCCUGACAUGUCUGGACUCAGACAACUGUUUACGACAGAAGCUGUUCUGCCGUUGGGAAGUCCCCAGCUGCCCUAGGGCCUGGGACCUUGAAUUUAGCUUCUUCCUAUGAUUAAAUGGAGUCUGAAUAA